rnacentral:lncRNA from 1 species
AGGAGCUUUUCACAGGUCCUGUUUGUCCAGAGGUAAGAGUCUCCACCAAGGAGCUGUGGCUUGCAUGGGCAUCCCAUGACUUAUUGAAGGCAAGGAUUAAAAUGUGGGACCUGUGUCAUCAAAUUAUGACCCCAGUGAGUCAAGGCAACAAGACUUGGGGAAGAGUAAGGACUGAAAUUUUAGAGACCCAAGUCAACUGCCUGGCAUCUCCACCAUUAUGUUUUGGCCUUACUCAAGAGCAUGAAAAUCAGGAGGUGAGAAUCACUGGAGGACAUCUUGGAGAUUGGCUACCAUAGCCUGGAUUAAGAGAAGGAAAAAACCAGAAAGAUCAUAGGGACAAAUCUACACAAAAAUUAAUUGGUAUGGCUCAGGAUGGGUGGGGGUGAGUGGUUCAGGACCAAGGAUAUGAACAAUAUAAUGGAGACAGGUCAUACUCUGUGUGGCUAUGGUUGUGUGGUUAAAGGUAGGGAUAUAUGACAUGAGGUAUCUCUCUGUAUGGACAAAUUUUCUUUGGAAACUUGAAUUCUCAGUGUGAAAGACUAGACGAAUGUAGACAGCAUGGAUAGCAUUCAGCUUAAAUAUGCAGAUGGGGGAAAUGUAUAAAUGAAGCAAAUUCUUCAGAAUAAAGUUUAAAAGUUAACAAUUUGGUCAGCCAAAGAUACAAAAGACAAUGUAUUUCAGAUAAUGCCAACAACUAGACGAAGAGAUGAUGUCACAAAAUGGAAUCUGCAAUUCAAGUAGAAAUAAAAGAUGUUGUGGUAAUGAGAAAGUAAUAAAGACCUGGUUUGAUCUUCAAGGAGAACUACAAACCACUGCUCAAGGAAAUAAAAGAGGAUACAAACAAAUGGAAGAACAUUCCAUGCUCAUGGGUAGGAAGAAUCAAUAUCAUGAAAAUGGCCAUACUGCCCAAGGUAAUUUACAGAUUCAAUGCCAUCCCCAUUAAGCUACCAAUGCCUUUCUUCACAGAAUUGGAAAAAACUACCUUAAAGUUCAUAUGGCCCCAAAAAAGAGC